rnacentral:lncRNA from 13 species
CCCUCCUCCCCCACAAAAUCUGAUGGUUGAACUCAUCUAAAUAAAUCGUAUUACCUUUUUUUAAAAAGCUACUUUUGGUUAAUUUAUAUCAAUUAUUUUUCAGGAAUGUAGUUCUAGUAAUAAUGAAUGAAUGCACUGUUUAUUGACUAUUUGCAAAUUGUUUUUGUUACCUCAGAUUGAAAUUUGGGAGGGAUCAAUUCCUUGAGAUAGGAGGGGAAGGGAAGGAAAACAAACCACAGCCUUUUUCUUUCCUUUUGCUGCUGCUGUGCGCUUUCCCUGUCUUCUGCGCUAUGACUCAGGGCUCAGAGAGGGCAUCUCAGAGGGCACCCUGCCUGUGUUCUCUGUUAUUGCCUGUGAGCCACCGACAGGCACCAUCAUUUUAAUCAGUCAAAGAAGCCUUUCUUUCAGGAAUGUAUAUUGCUUUUCCGUCCCUGCCUGCUCCCUGGUAAUCCUGGGCAAAGAGUCAGGGAAAGAAUGUGAGUGCUCAGGCUGAAAUCAAUGGGCUGGAAUUGUUUCUUCACUUUGGGCGACUCCACUGUUACUCAAGGAAUGAACUGACUGGCACCAAGCAAGAAGAACAGCACAUCCCUUUGGACUCAUUGCCUUAUUUAUAAGCCAUAACCUUAGGGACAAUAAGCUAGAGACCCUGCCAGCACCCUUGAGCCAGGAUCUCAUCUGAUGUCACAGUAGCCAUGGUUCCCUGGCAUCUGAGAGCCCAAGGAUGCAAAUAAAGCCCAGGCCAAACUAAGCUCUGACAAUUAAUGUUAUUCCAAAGAGGAGGCAGCAAGGGUAGGAAGUUCUGUUUCCCCCGUCUUCAAGUUUCACAGCCAAGAGCGAUGACGGCUUUAGUCAGUAAGUACAGUCAAGGAGCCUAUGAGGCAGAACUUGCCACAAAGAUGGCUGAUGUUUCACAUGGACCUUAAUGGAGAACCAGUGGUUUUUCUUCAGGAAUGGGCACAAUCCAGAGGUUACAAACCAUGGAACAUUUACUGGAUUUGGUACUUGAAGAAAGAAAGUGACAAAUUAAGAAAUGAGAGAGAAUAAAUGCACUGUGCAUGCUGAAACCCGAAGAAGACUUUUUCUCUCCUACUUUUUAUGGAUCUGACAUGUUGGAAAUGGAAACAUUGUUUCCAACAAAAUCCAAAUUUGUAUCUCUCUCUCCAAGAGAUAGGGCUUUAAUCUUUUUUCUUUUUUUCUGCUGCUUUUCUGAAACCGUUGGCUAGGGCUAAUUUCCUCUUCUUUGAAACAGAUCAAAAUAUUCCUGUGGGUGAAAAACAUGCAGGAAGUGAAACAGAAAGACUUAGCUUGCCGGGUGUUCGCUGUCUGUCAGCUUCUCUAGCCAGUGCCUGUGUCCACAGCUCACUGCUGUCUGUUGCCGUGAGGUAGCUGCAGUGUGGGGAAGACACGAGAGGCUUGAAGGCAUUUUAUAUUCUAUUCUCUUCUGAAGAAUUCACAAGUUAGCAAGCACUCAAGCACUGCUAACUAGAAGGUAUUGCCAAGCAUAACCAACUACACACAUCAACAAGGCCUCCCUCAGAUUGCAACCCCAGCAGAAAAUGAUGCAGCAAAAGUAAUCCCCAAACCUUGGUUGCCUGCCACCCGAGUUCUUGUGCCAAGAUU